GACGAACCGUCCAAACGUUAUUCGGAAUCACUGGGCGUAAAGGGCGCGUAGGCGGCCACCGCAAGUCGGUUGUGAAAUCUCCGGGCUUAACCCGGAAAGGUCAAUCGAUACUGCGGGGCUAGAGUGCAGAAGGGGCAACUGGAAUUCUCGGUGUAGCGGUGAAAUGCGUAGAUAUCGAGAGGAACACCUGCGGCGAAGGCGGGUUGCUGGGCUGACACUGACGCUGAAGCGCGAAAGCUAGGGGAGCGAACGGG
rnacentral:rRNA from 1 species